GGCGGUGUAGCUCAGCUGGUUAGAGCGUCGGAAUCAUAAUCCGCAGGUCCGGGGUUCAAAUCCCUGCACCGCUACCA
rnacentral:tRNA from 3 species